GAUACUCCCGUAGUAGUGGCGAGCGAACCGGGACCAGCCGAGCAAUGAAUGUGACUAGAACCAGUUGGAAAGCUGGGCGAUAUGGGUGACAGUCCCGUAUAGGAAGCAUGAUUGGACGUAUUAAGUAGGGCGGGACACGUGAAAUCCUGUUCGAAGAUCGGAGGACCACCUCCGAAGGCUAAGUACUCCUUACUGACCGAUAGUGAACCAGUACCGUGAGGGAAAGGUGAAAAGCACCCCGACGAGGGGAGUGAAACAGUUUCUGAAACCGGACGCCUACAAUCAGUUGGAGGGCCCUUGCGGCCUGACAGCGUACCUUUUGUAUAAUGGGUCAUCGACUUGGUCUAUCUAGCAAGCUUAAGCCGUUAGGUGUAGGCGCAGCGAAAGCGAGUCUUAAUAGGGCGAAUGAGUUAGAUGCAUUAGACCCGAAACCGAGUGAUCUAGGCAUGGCCAGGUUGAAGGUAAGGUAACACUUACUGGAGGACCGAACCCACAUCUGUUGAAAAAGAUCGGGAUGAGUUGUGCCUAGGGGUGAAAGGCCAAUCAAACUCGGAGAUAGCUGGUUCUCCGCGAAAUCUAUUUAGGUAGAGCGUCAUCCGAAUACCCCGGGGGGUAGAGCACUGGAUGGGUAAUGGGGCCCCACAGGCUUACUGAUCCUAACCAAACUCCGAAUACCCGGGAGUACUAGAUGGCAGACACACGGCGGAUGCUAACGUCCGUCGUGGAGAGGGAAACAACCCUGACCGACAGUUAAGGCCCCCAAUUCAUGGCUAAGUGGGAAAGCAGGUGGGACGACCAAAACAACCAGGAGGUUGGCUUAGAAGCAGCCAUCCUUUAAAGAUAGCGUAACAGCUCACUGGUCUAAAUAAGUUGUCCUGCGGCGAAGAUGUAACGGGGCUCAAGCCAUGAGCCGAAGCUUAGGAUGCAUUUAAUGCAUGGUAGCGGAGCGUAGUGUGACAUAGUUUCCUGUCUCUUUUGAUCCCUUUGGGGUCAUGGGAGACGCGAAGCUUUCUGUGAAGCCGGGCUGUAAGGCAUCCGGUGGAGAGAUCACUAGUGAGAAUGAUGACAUGAGUAGCGACAAAGAGUGUGAGAGACACUCUCGCCGAAAGUCCAAGGGUUCCUGCUUAAAGCUAAUCUGAGCAGGGUAAGCCGACCCCUAAGGCGAGGCCGAAAGGCGUAGUCGAUGGGAACCAGGUUAAUAUUCCUGGGCCGUGGAGUGGUGACGGAUCUCGAGUGUAGUUCAUCCUUAUUGGAUUGAAUGGGCUGCUUAGAGGUUCCUGGAAAUAGCCCUCCAUCAGACCGUACCCUAAACCGACACAGGUGGAUAGGUAGAGUAUACCAAGGCGCUUGAGAGAACUAUGUUGAAGGAACUCGGCAAAAUACCUCCGUAAGUUCGCGAGAAGGAGGCCCGGUUUCUAGGCAACUAGGAGCUGGGGGCACAAACCAGGGGGUGGCGACUGUUUACUAAAAACACAGGGCUCUGCGAAGUCGCAAGACGACGUAUAGGGUCUGACGCCUGCCCGGUGCCUGAAGGUUAAAAGGAGGGGUGAGAGCUCCGAAUUGAAGCCCAGGUAAACGGCGGCCGUAACUAUAACGGUCCUAAGGUAGCGAAAUUCCUUGUCGGGUAAGUUCCGACCUGCACGAAUGGCGUAACGACUUCCCCGCUGUCUCCAAUGUAGACUCAGCGAAAUUGAAUUGCCUGUUAAGAUGCAGGCUUCCCGCGGUUAGACGGAAAGACCCCGUGCACCUUUACUACAGCUUCGCACUGGCAUCAGAAUUGUGAUGUGCAGGAUAGGUGGUGGGCUUUGAAGCAGGAACGCCAGUUUCUGUGGAGCCUCCCUUGAGAUACCACCCUUGGCACUUUUGAUGUCUAACCGCGGUCCGUUAUCCGGAUCCGGGACCCUGUGUGGCGGGUAGUUUGACUGGGGCGGUCGCCUCCUAAAGAGUAACGGAGGCGCGCGAUGGUUGGCUCAGACCGGUCGGAAAUCGGUCGUCGAGUGCAAUGGCAUAAGCCAGCCUGACUGUGAGUCUGACAAGACGAGCAGAGACGAAAGUCGGUCAUAGUGAUCCGGUGGUCCCGAGUGGAAGGGCCAUCGCUCAACGGAUAAAAGGUACGCCGGGGAUAACAGGCUGAUACUGCCCAAGAGUCCAUAUCGACGGCAGUGUUUGGCACCUCGAUGUCGGCUCAUCUCAUCCUGGGGCUGGAGCAGGUCCCAAGGGUAUGG
rnacentral:rRNA from 1 species